rnacentral:rRNA from 1 species
GGACUACCGGGGUAUCUAAUCCCGUUUGCUCCCCUGGCCUUCGUGCCUCAGCGUCAGUAACUGUCCAGAGAUUCGCCUUCGCCACUGGUCUUCCUCACGAUAUCUACGCAUUUCACUGCUACACCGUGAAUUCCAAUCUCCUCUCCAGUACUCUAGCAACGCAGUAUUGAAUGCAGUUCCGGGGUUGAGCCCCGGGAUUUCACAUCCAACUUACAUCACCGCCUACGCACCCUUUACGCCCAAUGAAUCCGAACAACGCUUGAGACCUCUGUAUUACCGCGGCGGCUGGCAC